rnacentral:rRNA from 1 species
UGGGGAAUAUUGCACAAUGGGCGCAAGCCUGAUGCAGCCAUGCCGCGUGUGUGAAGAAGGCCUUCGGGUUGUAAAGCACUUUCAGCGGGGAGGAAGGCGGUGAGGUUAAUAACCUCAUCGAUCGACGUUACCCGCAGAAGAAGCACCGGCUAACUCCGUGCCAGCAGCCGCGGUAAUACGGAGGGUGCAAGCGUUAAUCGGAAUUACUGGGCGUAAAGCGCACGCAGGCGGUCUGUCAAGGCGGAUGUGAAAUCCCCGGGCUCAACCUGGGAACUGCAUUCGAAACUAGCAGGCUAGAGUCUUGUAGAGGGGGGUAGAAUUCCAGGUGUAGCGGUGAAAUGCGUAGAGAUCUGGAGGGAUACCGGUGGCGAAGGCGGCCCCCUGGACAAAGACUGACGCUCAGGUGCGAAAGCGUGGGGAGCAAACAGG